rnacentral:pre_miRNA from 1 species
AUUAGGAUAACUGGGUCAAAUGGUGAUUUCAUUCCAAGUUUUCUGGGGAAUAUCCAUAUUGUCUUCCAGAGUGGUUGUACCAAUUUGCAGCCCCACUCUUAAU